AGCCAUAUCAAGUUGAAACAUCAGUUCCCGUACGAUCACUGAAGUUAAGCAACGUGGAGUCUGGUUAGUACCUAGAUGGGUGACUGCUUAGAAAUACCAAGUGAA